GGGUGCGAUCAUACUAGCACUAAUGCACCGGAUCCAAUCAAAACUCCGUAGUUAAGCGUGCUUGGGCGAGAGUAGUACUAGGAUGGGUGACCUCCUUGGAAGUCCUUGUGUUGCACCCC
rnacentral:rRNA from 1 species